AACUAAAGUUUUUUAGUAAAAAAACAAGGCGCAGUACAAAUUUUUAUUACGACGCGGUCUUUGGGUAAUCAAACCGCUGGAAAAUUUGGCCAAAAAGUUAAAAUCUCCCUCUCAGUUCUGCUUCCCUCACCCUUACCAGCUCCUCUGCCUCCGCCAAAAUCAAGUCAAUCUCCGUCUCCGAGAUCAUACUUCCUCAGCUCUCCAGCCUCUUGAUUGUCAAAUCCGCCUCCGCCAGUGUGCCAUCGGAGGCGGAGCUCCAGAAGUUCGGCGUCUCCGACGAUCUCAGAUACUUCGUCAAGGGACUCACUUCCGAGUUUUUGAUUCAAAUCUUCAAAUGCGCACCGUUUCGAUCGAGUAGUUUGAUUCUGCAUCUGCAAUCGGGGAGCGUCUCUCUUGCUAUCGACGAACCAGCUCACAAGUAAUUUGAAAGUCCAGAGAGUUUCAUCUGCGCCUGAAGAGUUGAGAUCUCAUCAUCGAUGAUUCAGCUCUCGCAGGAUCGGAAACACCAUACAAAUUCAAAGAGGUGUUAGGAAAGAUUUGACGGAGUGGCGGGAGCGACAUGCAUGCCACUUCGGUUCCCACUACUAAUAAGGAUUCAAUAUUGAGACCGUGGAAUACAAGAACAUCAGCUUCAGUCUGGGAUGUUCGGGGUCAGGACAAGGCAUGAGAAGUUGGUGAUUGUUAAAGAGCCACAUGGAGUUAUGAAAUGAAGUUUAAGGUGGCUUAUUUCUGAAAGUUUGCAGUACUUUCUUGUAUCAAAAAGGCUUGACAGAUUUGAGAUACCCAUUUUCUUCCUUUCAGAUCUGACCUUUGUGGAGGCACUACUUCCAGAACACACAAGGUCUUAUCUUUGUUGUAGACAACAAUGACAGAGACCGUGUUAUUGAGGCAAAGGAUGAAUUGCACAGGAUGUUGAAUGAGUUUGUUCUCAUCUUGCGAGAGCACAUUUACUGACUUGUUUUUUUAUCCUUGCAAUAACUAGAUUCCUAGCUCUGGUAUAUGAGGUUUAAGUUAUGAAGAGGUGAAAGACUUGUAAAUCAUAGAAAUGAAUGUUAGGUUGUUAUAAAAUCAGUUAGCCAGUGGCUUCAUGUCCCUCGUCCGCUUCUGUAUUCAUUCAAUCUUCAUUAGUCUAAUAUGCGUUAUUUGUCUUUACAGGUACAUCCAGAACACUUGUGCAACCUCUGGAGAGGGUCUAUAUGAAGGCCUAGAUUGGUUCUCCAACAACACUGCUAACAAGGCUUGAUCCCUAUUUGGAAGUGAUUUUGAGGAUUGGCAAUUCUGGAUGCAGGAAUGAAUGUUAUCUAGUUUGUUUUAGUGAACAUGUUGAAAGCUAGAAUGCAGUUUUAUCACUUUAUGUAGAUUAGGAUCAAUAGGUUUGUUAUUAUAUAAUAAUUGAAGUGAUUUAUUAACUUUCAGUGAAGUUUCUUAUCUUUCUUCUACUCUUAGUUUUGUUACACAUUUUUUCCUCGCAGAAAUUAAUUGUCAUUUUUUUAUUUUAA